rnacentral:rRNA from 1 species
GACAGAGGGUGCAAACGUUGUUCGGAUUUACUGGGCGUAAAGCGCGUGUAGGCGGCUUGGCAAGUCGGAUGUGAAAGCCCACGGCUCAACCGUGGAAGUGCACCCGAAACUGCCUAGCUAGAGUCUCGGAGAGGAAGGUGGAAUGCUUGGUGUAGAGGUGAAAUUCGUAGAUAUCAAGCGGAACACCGGUGGCGAAGGCGGCCUUCUGGACGAUGACUGACGCUGAGACGCGAAAGCGUGGGGAGCAAACAGG